CAAUUUUGCUCUAGCUCUACAGGGGUUGCAAGCCACAUAUUCAACAAUUCUAGUUUUUGAUAUCACUAGGCACACAAGAGCUAUGUCACUAUAAUCUACACAAGUCUAAGCUAGCAAUUAAGACUAACUACACUACUUUUGUGGGAAUGUAAAUAGAGAGGAUGUGAUCUUUAUACCACUAUGUAGAGGCAAGUGAACCAAUCAAUAAGAUGUAGACCAAUCACCGAGAGAAAUCCAAUCAACCACAAGAGAUGAACGCAAAGAUUUUUCUCCUGAGGUUCAUGUGCUUGCCAGCAUGCUAGUCCCUGUUGUGUUGACCAACACCUUGUGAUUCGCGGCUAAUUGGGGAUCCACACGCAAGCUCACCAAGAGCAUUGCAAGAACCUACCACAAGUGAGGUAGCUCAAUAACACGAGCAAUUUACUAGAGUUGUCUUUAGCGCUUGUAACACCCUAAAAAUUGUUUUCUGGGAAAUAGAGCUAAAAUGAUUUAAUUAUGAUUUUUUUUGUGCUCAUGAAACAUAGGAAAUAAUAUUCUUCAUCAAAAUAAAAUUUAUCAUAGGAGUUUAGCAAUAUGUUUGAGAAUUCAUGCCUUUGCAUUUGAUUUAAUGAUGUGUGUGUGUUUGACAAAAGUUCAAAAUAUUUCAAACAGAUUUAAAAAGGAUUUUUAAAUGAGUUUGAAAAGGCUUUUAAAUAAAUAAAAAAAACAAACAAAGGAAAAGAAAAAAAGAAAAACAACUUUCACCACUGUUUCUGGCCCGGAGGCCCAAACCUUCCUCUCCCCCUUCCAUUCCCCUCGCUCGGCCCAGGGCGCGGCCCAGUCUGGCCUUUUCUUUCCCCACCUGGCGGCGCCCGUCGUCUUCCUCUCGCCGUGUGCGAGCUGGACUCAGCCGAAGCCGUGAACACCGAAUCCAAUUCCGUUUCUUCCGAGAUUUCCUUGCCAAGUUGAUUACCUGAGCCCUAUAAAGAUCCCAGCAACGCCCCGCGCCUUGUUUCCCCCACCCACGCCGCAAAUGCAUGCCCUAGACGUCGCGUUUUGGAUCACGCCGAACCGGCUUAGUUCUCCAUCACCAACCGAGCUCCUCGCUCUCUCUCUGGCCGAAUUAAUCCCCUUGGUGAGCUCGCCUUUUCCUCCUCUACGCGCCCAUGUCCUCGGUUGUGUUUUUGGUGCUUGGAGACGUCUCCUUCACGUGCGCCGGCAAGCUUCGCGGCGGUGCUCAUGGCGCGCCACCGUGCCGGAGCGCAGGAAGACGGCCGGCCGCCGCCGGACCCCCCUAGAAGAAAUCUGAGCCGUUGGAUUGGAGAUCAAAGGCCAA
rnacentral:lncRNA from 1 species